rnacentral:rRNA from 1 species
AUAAUGGGUCAGCGACUUAUAUUCUGUAGCAAGGUUAACCGAAUAGGGGAGCCGAAGGGAAACCGAGUCUUAACUGGGCGUUAAGUUGCAGGGUAUAGACCCGAAACCCGGUGAUCUAGCCAUGGGCAGGUUGAAGGUUGGGUAACACUAACUGGAGGACCGAACCGACUAAUGUUGAAAAAUUAGCGGAUGACUUGUGGCUGGGGGUGAAAGGCCAAUCAAACCGGGAGAUAGCUGGUUCUCCCCGAAAGCUAUUUAGGUAGCGCCUCGUGAAUUCAUCUCCGGGGGUAGAGCACUGUUUCGGCAAGGGGGUCAUCCCGACUUACCAACCCGAUGCAAACUGCGAAUACCGGAGAAUGUUAUCACGGGAGACACACGGCGGGUGCUAACGUCCGUCGUGAAGAGGGAAACAACCCAGACCGCCAGCUAAGGUCCCAAAGUCAUGGUUAAGUGGGAAACGAUGUGGGAAGGCCCAGACAGCCAGGAUGUUGGCUUAGAAGCAGCCAUCAUUUAAAGAAAGCGUAAUAGCUCACUGGUCGAGUCGGCCUGCGCGGAAGAUGUAACGGGGCUAAACCAUGCACCGAAGCUGCGGCAGCGACGCUUAUGCGUUGUUGGGUAGGGGAGCGUUCUGUAAGCCUGCGAAGGUGUGCUGUGAGGCAUGCUGGAGGUAUCAGAAGUGCGAAUGCUGACAUAAGUAACGAUAAAGCGGGUGAAAAGCCCGCUCGCCGGAAGACCAAGGGUUCCUGUCCAACGUUAAUCGGGGCAGGGUGAGUCGACCCCUAAGGCGAGGCCGAAAGGCGUAGUCGAUGGGAAACAGGUUAAUAUUCCUGUACUUGGUGUUACUGCGAAGGGGGGACGGAGAAGGCUAUGUUGGCCGGGCGACGGUUGUCCCGGUUUAAGCGUGUAGGCUGGUUUUCCAGGCAAAUCCGGAAAAUCAAGGCUGAGGCGUGAUGACGAGGCACUACGGUGCUGAAGCAACAAAUGCCCUGCUUCCAGGAAAAGCCUCUAAGCAUCAGGUAACAUCAAAUCGUACCCCAAACCGACACAGGUGGUCAGGUAGAGAAUACCAAGGCGCUUGAGAGAACUCGGGUGAAGGAACUAGGCAAAAUGGUGCCGUAACUUCGGGAGAAGGCACGCUGAUAUGUAGGUGAAGUCCCUUGCGGAUGGAGCUGAAAUCAGUCGAAGAUACCAGCUGGCUGCAACUGUUUAUUAAAAACACAGCACUGUGCAAACACGAAAGUGGACGUAUACGGUGUGACGCCUGCCCGGUGCCGGAAGGUUAAUUGAUGGGGUUAGCGCAAGCGAAGC